rnacentral:lncRNA from 1 species
CGGUUCUUCUCAGAUCUCAACCCUGCUGCGUUUCCGACCGGAAGUUAGACCAUCCGCUCCACGGUUCUCCAGGUUGCUGACCGCAAAUCUCUGAAUUGGCUCACAGGAGUAUGGAGACCGAGAAGUCCCAAAAUCUGUGUCCGCGUUAAACUGGACAACGCGAGAGCAGAUGGCGUGACUUCCGGUCGGGAACCCAGCGGCUUGAGAUCCGAGAAGAGCCGCGUUUCAGUUACACUCUGAAGCACAGAUUGUCAGCCUAUUCCCCUGGACCAAUCAAUCUUGAAUGGAGAUAAGAAAUCUGUAUUAAAUCCUCAGCUGGGAGCAAAGAACUCCAAUGUCCUGGGAGAUGACAAAAUCACAAGAGGGAAGGAAGCUAUCUUUCUGACUCAGCAGGUGGAAGGCAGGUCUUACAGAUCCCAGCAGACUGUCACAUGAGUGAGAAAUUAAUUUCUAUUGUGGAAUCAUACUCCCUACUCCUGACCACUAGGGUUAUAUCUUUGAAUGCUAUAAGGCUUCGUCUGUAGAAGCAGUAUAUCUUGGAAGAAUUUCUCCAAAAAGUACCCUGUUGGGACAGGAGGACAUCCUCGAAGACGUGGAAUUACUAGGUCAAGAUUUAUGAAGGUUUUUAAGCUGUCAGUAUUGCCAAAUUCGUAUGCAUUCAUCAGCUCGCAUCCACAUCAUGAAAGAGCACCUGCUUCACUCCACCUUGGCCAGCCCUCUCACUGCCCUUCAGAAGAAUGUAGCAGUAUUGAUAGUGUUUAUGUGUUCGCCAUGUGCUGGGUACCUUAGUGCAUAAGCACAUCAACCUUGGAUGGCGUGUGUUAUACCAUGCCAUCCAAGUGUGCUCAGAAACCAGCUCUCUGAAAAGGGUAGAGGGGUAAGCCCUAUUUGUAACAUUAUCCAAAUUUCAGGGUGGAUAUGCCUCCAACAUAGCUGAUUCCACCCUCCAGGGGCUUAACAACUGUUUCCCAAAUCCCUGACUGUUUAAGUGAAUCUACAAAAAUGGUGCUAGCACAUUGUUCAUUUCAAUACCUAUUUUACAGAUAAAGGGAUUAGUUUUAAAGAAGUUAAAUAAUUUUCCAUUAAUUACACAACUGGGAGGCAGCAAGCCAGGACCAAACCUGACAUUUCUCUGAGGAUGGAGCUGACAUUCUUAACCAUUUCUCCUGCCUCCCUUUCAGAACUAUGACUAUUAAAAGUUUCUUUCUACAUCAUUAA